rnacentral:rRNA from 1 species
AAUAUUGGACAAUGGGGGCAACCCUGAUCCAGCCAUGCCGCGUGUGUGAAGAAGGUCUUCGGAUUGUAAAGCACUUUAAGUUGGGAGGAAGGGCAGUAAGUUAAUACCUUGCUGUUUUGACGUUACUGACAGAAGAAGCACCUGCUAACCUUGUGCCAGCAGCCGCGGUAAUACAGAGGGUGCAAGCGUUAAUCGGAAUUACUGGGCGUAAAGCGCGCGUAGGUGGUUCAGUAAGAUGGGUGUGAAAUCCCCGGGCUUAACCUGGGAACUGCUUUCAUAAAUGCUGAGCUAGAGUACGGUAGAGGGUAGUGGAAUUUCCUGUGUAGCGGUGAAAUGCGUAGAUAUAGGAAGGAACACCAGUGGCGAAGGCGACCACCUGGGCUAAUACUGACACUGAGGUGCGAAAGCGUGGGGAGCAAAC